GAUGAACGCUGGCGGCGUGCCUAAUACAUGCAAGUCGAGCGAACAGACGAGGAGCUUGCUCCUCUGACGUUAGCGGCGGACGGGUGAGUAACACGUGGAUAACCUACCUAUAAGACUGGGAUAACUUCGGGAAACCGGAGCUAAUACCGGAUAAUAUAUUGAACCGCAUGGUUCAAUAGUGAAAGACGGUUUUGCUGUCACUUAUAGAUGUAUCCGCGCCGCAUUAGCUAGUUGGUAAGGUAACGGCUUACCAAGGCAACGAUGCGUAGCCGACCUGAGAGGGUGAUCGGCCACACUGGAACUGAGACACGGUCCAGACUCCUACGGGAGGCAGCAGGAGGGAAUCUUCCGCAAUGGGCGGAAACUUGACGGAGCAGCGCCGCGUGAGUGAUGAAGGUCUUCGGAUCGUAAAACUCUGUUAUUAGAGAAGAACAAAUGUGUAAGUAACUAUGCACGUCUUGACGGUACCUGAUCAGAAAGCCACGGCUAACUACGUG
rnacentral:rRNA from 1 species